AAUGAACGUUGGCGGCGUGGAUUAGGCAUGCAAGUCGAGCGAGAACCCAGCAAUGGGGGACGAGCGGCGGAAAGGGGACAGUAAUGUGUAGAUUAUCUGCCCUCCGGGUCCGGGAUAGCUGCGGGAAACUGCAGGUAAUACCGGAUAACAUCUCCGGAUCAAAGGUGUGAUUCCGCCCGAGGAUGAGUCUGCAUCCUAUUAGCUUGUUGGUGGGGUAAUGGCCUACCAAGGCUUUGAUGGGUAGCGGGUGUGAGAGCACGACCCGCGUCAUUGGGACUGAGACACUGCCCAGGCACCUACGGGUGGCUGCAGUCGAGAAUCUUCGGCAAUGGGCGCAAGCCUGACCGAGCGACGCCGCGUGUGGGAUGAA
rnacentral:rRNA from 1 species